rnacentral:rRNA from 1 species
AGUGAACGCUGGCGGUAGGCCUAACACAUGCAAGUCGAACGGCAGCACAGUAAGAGCUUGCUCUUACGGGUGGCGAGUGGCGGACGGGUGAGGAAUACAUCGGAAUCUACUUUUUCGUGGGGGAUAACGUAGGGAAACUUACGCUAAUACCGCAUACGACCUACGGGUAAAAGCAGGGGAUCUUCGGACCUUGCGCGAUUGAAUGAGCCGAUGUCGGAUUAGCUAGUUGGCGGGGUAAAGGCCCACCAAGGCGACGAUCCGUAGCUGGUCUGAGAGGAUGAUCAGCCACACUGGAACUGAGACACCGUCCCGACUCCUACGGGAGGCAGCAGUCGGGAAUAUUGGACAAUGGGCGCAAGCCUGAUCCAGCCAUACCGCGUGGGUGAAGAAGGCGUUCGGGUUGUAAAGCCCUUUUGUUGGGAAAGAAAAGCAGCAGGUUAAUACCCCGCUGUUCUGACGGUACCCAAAGAAUAAGCACCGGCUAACUUCGUG